rnacentral:rRNA from 1 species
GACGUAGGGCGCGAGCGUUGUCCGGAUUUAUUGGGCGUAAAGAGCUCGUAGGCGGUUUGUCGCGUCUGCCGUGAAAGUCCGGGGCUCAACUCCGGAUCUGCGGUGGGUACGGGCAGACUAGAGUGAUGUAGGGGAGACUGGAAUUCCUGGUGUAGCGGUGAAAUGCGCAGAUAUCAGGAGGAACACCGGUGGCGAAGGCGGGUCUCUGGGCCGAUACUGACGCUGAGGUGCGAAAGCGUGGGGAGCAAACAGG